UAGGGAAUCUUCCGCAAUGGACGCAAGUCUGACGGAGCAACGCCGCGUGAGUGAAGAAGGAUUUCGGUUCGUAAAACUCUGUUGUUAGAGAAGAACAGCGCAUAGAGUAACUGUUAUGCGUGUGACGGUAUCUAACCAGAAAGCCGCGGCUAACUACGUGCCAGCAGCCGCGGUAAUACGUAGGUGGCAAGCGUUGUCCGGAUUUAUUGGGCGUAAAGCGAGCGCAGGCGGUCAAUUAAGUCUGAUGUGAAAGCCCCCGGCUCAACCGGGGAGGGUCAUUGGAAACUGGUUGACUUGAGUGCAGAAGAGGAGAGUGGAAUUCCAUGUGUAGCGGUGAAAUGCGUAGAUAUAUGGAGGAACACCAGUGGCGAAGGAGACUCUCUGGUCUGUAACUGACGCUGAGGCUCGAAAGCGUGGGUAGCAAACAGG
rnacentral:rRNA from 1 species